UAGAUACCAUUCUUCUUCUUUUUGGUCUCCCCCGAGAGGGUCUGGCCACAGAAGAGCUUUCAGCUUCCACACCUUUGGUGAAAUGAAGAACCUGCAAAUAGAGUUUCCAGAGGUAUCAUCUCAUCUUCCCAGUGGAGCUCUCGGUUCCUGGACUGCCUGUGCCAAGUGCCUCAUGAAGAUGAAGCACCUGCAAUGUAAAUGCAGUGUAAAUCUAUGUGAUCAUAGGAAAGAACACAUAGAGAAGGCAUCAAGGUUGCACAGGAGCUUCAUGGAUGCUGCAGGUGUCCCAUGAGUAUGUUUGGAAAGAUCUCCUAUUAGUCCUGAUGCUACCCCAAGGAGAAUGAGGGCUGAACAAGCUGUCUUCUGCUGGGCUGAGCUGGCUCUGACUGCUUCUUUGCUGAUGGAGGAUCAUGUUCUGCUCUGACUUAAGUGGAAACCACUGCUGCAGAGUCAAGUUCCCUUCACAGGUUUUUCUGAGGAGAGGGCAUGCAUAGAGAAAUGAAGGGCUGACAGAUAGGUUACCAGGAGCCUAGCUUCUCUUGUCCCACAACAGAGGAGGAGGUACUAUCCUAGCUAUUCUGGUUUUACCCUCUAAAACAAAUAUUUUUUUCCUCUCAAGGAGGAGGCACUCUGUAGAUGUGGCUGCAUCUCAUGAGCAUACACUGCUGAAUCAUGUCUAGGAUGUGCCAAGUAUCUGCAGGAAGCAUAACAGGAAGAGGGAAACAGAAAAAUUCACAAAAUAAGCAUCUGACUCAGAGCAUUCAGAGGGGCACUUCUGCCUCCCACUGAAUAAUUUGUGUCUGUUCUGAUAAUGUUUUCUUCAGGAAGCCUCGAUGUUCCUAGAACAGAUGAUGGAGCUGCACUGAUAAUUACAGCAUGUUUUUCCUCGAACCCCUAGCUCUUCAUCGCAGUUUUCAGAAGAGCUGUGCAGUGAGCCUGAGGCUCUGAUGUUUUGCCCUGGGUUUGAAAUGUGUACGGGGCUGAUGAGGCUGUUCUUGAACUCCAUGGUUGUUUUCACUCUGCACCUCUGGAUGGAUGGCUUGCAUAAAACAAGUCAAAAAGACAGCAAGGAGGAGUUGCCCAGGCUGGAGGCAUGGGGUAUACAACAGAGGCCUCUGGGUGUGUCUUCCAGAAUCAUUCCCAUUCCUCAUCAUUCAUGAACAAGGAAAUGAGCACCACACACUACCAAUGCACAUCUUCUUGUCUUCCAGCUCUGGAAGCUAUUAUGCUUCCUUCAGGAGCAGAACCUGCUUUUUUUAUAACAUUCCUUCUGCUGAGUGUCUUGAGGCUGGUUGUGUUCUGAGUUCUGUGUUAAUUUUAGGCAAACGGGUGCUGUGCUCAGCACUGCUCAGGGCACAGUAGUACAUUUUCCACAGAAGACCAGCAACUGAUUACAUUGAGUGUAACGGAGCUAAGUUCUGAUGUAGAUGUCACACAGUGAUUGCUUAAUUUAGACAACAGGAGUUGGGGAACAUGGUACUAAGAGAAGACUAGGGAAUUAAGGCAAGAUUCAUGCUAUCAGAAAGCUAUAGAGCAGAAUAGUUCUCUGUCAUUAUUGCCAGGAUAUUCACCCACAUCUGAAUACUUGUUUUCUCUUAAACAUUAAAACAAGAAUAAUCCUAGCAGCAGAGACUGGAAGCCAGAACUCACCUACUAGGUGUCCUAGUUGUUUAACUGCUGAGUUAUCAUCAGUCUUUGAAUUUCCCAUUUUUUUCAUUAAUUUGCAAUCAUCCCAAUUAGAGCAGAGCUACAGAAGCAAGGGUUAUAUUUGUAUAUAUUUUUUUCCACUGAUCUUAUGCUAAAACCUAGAGUCUGACAGUACUGGAAGAUGCAGGCUCAUCAUAUUCUUGUUGCAAUAAGAAUAUGGGAUUCACUGAAGAUAGGCCUUUCACCCCCUGAGCCACAUGAUUUCUCCACUACAGAAGUUAUGUACCACUCCCUCUUGAAAGCAUGAAUUCUGCUCUGAUGGCAUUUUCAGGGAGCAGUAUUUGAAGAGCUUGUUCUUGGUGUGCUUUAAAUGCAUUCACUCGAUGUUCUGCAGAGGCCUGUGCUUCAAUCUUAUUCUUGCAUUUUAGCUUGGGAAAAGCACCUCACUGCUCACAUCAACACAGUUCAGAGCAAGCAAAGCAAAAUGCCGUCUGCAAGGGAAUUUGAAAAGGAGAAAAUAAAAUACCUGCAGAAUUUGGAAACUUGCACAUGCAUGGUAAAUGAGAAAUUUUCUUUCAGAUGGCUUUUUGGAGGUAUAUGCUUCAAGCCAGCUUACAUCCUAUUUAGGAUUGCCACAUCCUUACUUCGAGUGUUGCUUCUCCUUUCUGAAUUUAUCUGUAGUUCUGUACAUUAAACAUGUUUUUCACAAGUUCUCCGAUACGUAUACGUGGAAAAAUACAGUUAGAAUAUCUGAUUUCUGAGUCUGUUUUUCAGAAACCCUCUGAAUACAGUGAUGUAAUGCCCUCUAGAAGUGAUUAUAAUGCUAUUUGAAAAUGAGUGUACUUUAUCAAGAGAAAGGAUUUAGGGGUACUGUCAGAUGGCAUCCAGACAUGAGUCAGUAGCGUGCUCCAGCAGCCCAGAAAGCCAUCCAUAUCCCAGGCUGCCUCAAAAGCAGCACAGCAAGGCAGGUAAUCCUGCCCUUUGCUCUAUGCUGGUGAGGCCUCACCUGCAGUACUGCAUUUAGAUGUGGAGUCCUCAAUA